rnacentral:SRP_RNA from 1 species
GCCGGGCGUGGUGGCACACGCCUGUAAUCCCAGCUACUCAGGAGGCUGAGGCAGGAGAAUCGCUUGAACCCAGGAAGCGGGGGUUGCAGUGAGCUGUGAUUGUGCCACUGCACUCCACCCUGGGUGACAGAGUGAGACUCAGUCUCAA